rnacentral:rRNA from 1 species
CGUAGGGGGCAAGCGUUGUCCGGAAUUACUGGGCGUAAAGGGUGCGUAGGCGGCCGAUUAAGUCAGAUGUGAAAUACCACGGCUCAACUGUGGGGGUGCAUUUGAAACUGGUUGGCUUGAGUGCAGGAGAGGAAAGUGGAAUUCCUAGUGUAGCGGUGAAAUGCGUAGAUAUUAGGAGGAACACCAGUGGCGAAGGCGACUUUCUGGACUGUAACUGACGCUGAGGCACGAAAGCGUGGGGAGCAAACAGGAUUAGAUACCCUGGUAGUCCACGCUGUAAACGAUGGAUACUAGAUGUAGGGGGUAUCGACCCCCCCUGUGCCGCAGUUAACGCAAUAAGUAUCCCGCCUGGGGAGUACGGCCGCAAGGUUG